CUCAGACUUAGUGAAGGCUCUGACCUUCUCUGGGACACUUCUUAGUUAUGUCUUCACAGACAGUGUUGAUGUCAGUAGUCAUCUAGAAAGUGAUGUACACAGAUACAUUCAUUAAAUCACCAAAUCACCAGAGUUCUUGUCUUGUUCAUUGAGUUUGAAGGCUUAUCCAGAAUCUAUCAAUUCAAGGGAAAUGCUCUCCCCUGACACUAUAAUAUAACAACUGUGUUAGAAUGGCUUGGAGUCGGAGUCAUUGUGGGGUCAUUGAAUGGUAAGCAUGGAUUACAAAUGGAGGCAUUGGAACUAUCCAAACUCUGUCUUAUCACUUCUCUUGGAGAAAAUAAUUAGUAUUUAAAUUAGGAAAUGAAAAAAAAAGUAGAAGAUCUAUUUCUCUUCUGAGUUUUUUUCUUUGGGGUAAUUAUGUUACAGUGGAAUGAAGACAGCCUCCUGCCUACUUCUUUAUUUGAUUGUGAUAUUAUACAGUCUUCACAGGUUAUAAAACAUCAUGGUUAGGUGAAGAAUGAAAAGAACAGCCACUGCCUACUGGUCUGAAGCUGGACCCAACCACUGCUGCCCUGCUGACUCUUCAGGCAUUCAGCAGAUACCAGAGAGCACUCCUUUAGGCCUAGUGGUGUUUUUUAUGGCUUUAUGUUCAUUUACUUUCUAAGAUUCAUCAGGCUAAAUUAAGUGCUUGGGCUAUAGUGUGUCAUAGCACCAACAAUGCUGUACCCAGAAGUUGUGUAAGUCUCACUAGGUUUACAUGGAUCUAAAUGGAUACCUCACACACUGUGUCCCAUUGAUUCUCUGUAAAUACUAUGUCAUUCCCAUGAACUGAGACCUUACCAUGCCAUACUUGUGUUAACUUGUGUUUCUAUAUCAGAAAAGUAUGCUUGAAGUCACUAUUGAGAUCACAUGUUAGACACAUAACAGUUGUUAGAUUUUCUGGGUUUUUUGUUUGUGUGUUUUUUAAAUUCAAUUGAUCUGACCCUUCUUUGUUCUGACUGCAUUCCAGUUACUGCUAUCUUGAGAAGGCUGGGGCUUAGGCCCACUGAGUCCUCCAAUGUGGUUCUUGAAAGAUCAACUUUGGAUGUGGCAAGAAAGCCCUGUGCAAUUAAUGAAGAUUUGCAUGGGGAGGAGCGAAUGGAGGCAACACCACUGGAUACUGAGGUCCAGACAAGGAAGUACGGAUUCUUUGCUUCUAUGCUGAGAAAACUUGGCAUUAGCUGCUCCGUCCUCAGCUGUAUAAGACCUCUACCAUCGUCUGUGAUUUUACCAGAAGAGGCCCAUGGCCCUAAAACUGGUACUGUGUAAAUUUAAUUAUUACAUUUAUUAUCAGUAGUUGUGGAUGAUAUUGUAUCC
rnacentral:lncRNA from 1 species